GCCGCCGUGGCUCAGUAGGUAGGUGUCAGGCCAUCGUGGUCUGACAACCGAAAGCGACAGCAUUGUUGCCUUGUGCAAGGUGCCGGGUCAGCCUGUUAAAUUUCGAUCAGGUAAUCGAGAGCCAGACAGUUGUUGGUCGGAGGUUCGAGCCCUCCCGGCGGCGCCA
rnacentral:tRNA from 1 species